rnacentral:rRNA from 1 species
UACAGAGGUCUCAAGCGUUGUUCGGAUUCAUUGGGCGUAAAGGGUUCGUAGGCGGUGUGGCAAGUCGGGAGUGAAAUCUCUGGGCUCAACUCGAGAGACUGCUUCCGAAACUGCUCGAUGCUGGAGUGUGGGAGAGGCGCGUGGAAUUGCAGGUGUAGCGGUGAAAUGCGUAGAUAUCUGCAGGAACACCCGUGGCGAAAGCGGCGCGCUGGGCUGAUACUGACGCUGAGGCGCGAAAGCCAGGGGAGCGAACGGG